UCGCCUCUUCUCCCGAGUCUUGUUGAGUCUCAGCGGUUUCGCAACUAAAGUCACGUGAUCAAAUUUUGGCGCCGAGAGAUAGAGACGGUUACAGUUCGAAUACUGCAUUUGCACAAGAUGGAUUUAACUUACUUCAAGAUUCUCUGAUUUUAGGAUCUCUCACUCUGAAUUCUUGAAAAGAUGAACUGAUAUUUUUAUGUCUAUGUCUUUGUUUGCAUCCACUUAAGCUGAUUUUUUGGCUCUCACUCUUUCAGCGUGCAGAAUCAAGUCCUUCGAGUAAGACGGUUCAAACGUCGAUUGAUGAUUCAGAUAACAUCAGCGAUUAUGAAAAUUUAGAGGUGACAUUGGCACCGAAAGAAAAGGGUAAAUCGCCCAAGGAUCUCUGUUUUACGGACGAGGCGACAGAACUGAGCACUGUCUAAGUUCCUCCUGAAUGGCUUUCAAAAUUUCAACUACCAUCGAGGUUCUCUGCCUCAGUAGAGUUGGAUACCCAGAAGGAAUAUCUCAUCAGCAGCCUAAAGUACUCUGAGCAACAGUGGAUUGCAAAAAAAAAAAAUUGCAGAGUAUCCUUGUAUGGUUAGCAGGAUACUAGACUAAGUUGACUUGGAAACUGAAUGGAUUGGUAUGGUCUAAAAAUCUAUUGCUUCACCUCUUCUGCUUGCAGUGAAGAGAGACAAUUUUGUGGUGCUGAAUCUCUUGCCUUAAACUAAAAAGUUGCAAAAUAAUCACUCUCACCUUUUUAGUUCAUGACCUUUGUUCUUGUGUGUUUGUCAUCAUAUGCAUUUAAUGAAGUUGUGACCAUUUUGGAGGUACAAGUCCAAAAAACUGCUACUUUGGUACUAAGAUGAACAGCUAAAAUUUCUGAGCCCAUUUGCCAAUGAAGUCCAGAUACAAAGGUUCAAGUACUUUGGGGUGUAUUAAUUUUGCCUUUUUGUUUAGCUUUUUUGAUUUUGCAAUUUUUUAAAAUAUUCCUGUUGUCAAACCAUUAGAUAAAUAUUGGACAUAGAAUAGCUGAUUUUUUUCAGAUAUUUUGGGAGUCAUACAUUAGUUUUUCAAGUCUUGAAUGGGAGACAAAUUACACAAAUUGAGCUAAAUUUCCACUUUCAUUUCUGGUGUUUUAGCUUAUAGUUUUAGAAAAACAAUAUAUAUAUAUAUAUAUAUGUAAAUGUGGGGGUAGAGUCUACCUUGGCAUAAAGUGCUCAAUGCUGUGGUAGCAGAGCUAAGUAUACAUAAGUUAAAGAAUUAAAGAGGACACAUCAAUUCUCUGU